GCCAUCUUGAGAGAUUAUAUUUUGUAUUAGGUUACUUGUUGAUCCGAGUUCACCCAUGCCGAUUAGGUUGGUCAGACAUGAAAUGUGUUGAUCUAAACUAGAUUAGUCAUUACAAUAGAUGUAUGUGACUAAUUAGAAGAGAUCUAAACCCAAAUCUCCUCAUUGAAUAUUAAGUCUACUGGUCUUCCACGGUUGUAGAGAUGCGGGUGCCUUUUCUGGUGUUGAUCAUUUUCAGCUGGUUAUAGUAAUUCAGUUGCAUCAGAAAGGUACAACUACUUUAUUGGUAUCAGAUACCUCGAGAUAAAGAUGGGGUUGGGCCCAAUAACUGUUAGGUAAGGGAUCCAAUGAUGGUUUUGCACUCAUUGGUGAAUGGUGGAUUGGACUUAACUAAGAAAUAUACCAAUAACUGUUAGGUGAGGCCA
rnacentral:lncRNA from 1 species